rnacentral:snRNA from 1 species
GUGUUCGCUUCAUCAGCACAGAUACUAAAACUGGAACAAUACAGAGAAGAUUAGCAUGGCCCUGGUGCAAGGAUGACACGCAAAUUCGUGAGGUGCUCCAUAUUUAG